CACAGUAUUGGGGGAAAUCAUAGGAUUCAGUCUGCAGCCUCAGAUUUGUCAGUCUUGAGUCCACUAGAAGAACAGAAAUAAAGUAAGAGGUGAAGUAGCCUAACUUUGGUCAGCUGCAAAGGGCAACAGGAUGCCAGCCAACUCAAGGAUUGAUGUGAACCGAAUCCUCUGGUGCGACUUUCCAUUCUGAUGACUGGAAGAAUUUUCCCCAGACUAGCUCUGCCGCUGUGUAUUUCAACCUUCUUUCAUCAUACUUGCAUCAUUUUGGUGUUGGGUACCUUCAUACCCAUUCUCCACAUCAGGAAUCCAGGUGACUUAUGCUCAGAGGAACAAUGCCCUAUUACUCUGUAUCUCUAGAGGCAUCUGUGACAGAAAUAUUGGAGAAAGGGAUUUUAAAGGGAGAUUCUGAAAUCCUUGGGAAAUUCCACAAGUGGACAAGGCUUCAUAGCCGUGUGGACAAACGACAUUGUCCAGGAAUUUGUGAGUCAUGCGUCAGGCAUAUGACAUUGGAAUGGGGUCAACAGAAGGAAACUGGCCUCAGACUCAGGAACUCUUGGCUGCUGAGCCAGAAGAACUUUGAAAGAUUUCCUCUUUCAAAAGAAUUGUCUUGAGUGUUCACUCUGUGUGAGGUGCUUGGGAUUCAAAUCUAGCUCCCAUUGUUAAGGGGGAAAAACCCAAGAAGUCCCUUAGGAAAUGGUGCAGUCAGCUCUUACAGUCAGAGAAGAGAAUACCUUGAGAUCUUAACCCAUUUGGUAAGGUGGAGGUUGAAGGACUUUCAGGAACUUUCCAAGCCGUAGUGCUAUCUGGGUUGAUUUUUUUUUAAGGGUUUUGUCAUGCAAAGAAAUGGAAAAGGUAUCCUAAACCAAGAAAAGAGUGUAAGCCAAGACUCGGAGGUAUGAGAAUUUAAAAGAUUGAAGCUGAGGCUGGGAGAAGAGACAGAUCCGAAGAGGAAUCUGGAGAGCCUGGAAGAGGUCAAGUAAAGAAAUACUUCCAUCAGGGUGAGAAUGUAAACUGUAUCCCAAAGACCACAGCAAGUGGGUGGACACUGGAGACUAAAGCUGGGAAAAGACAUGACCAAGGUCAUAUUUUAGAAAGUUCACUUAACAAAAGUGAGUGCGAGGGGAAAGCUUGAGGUUCAAUCACUAAGGAGAUUUCUGCAGUGAUUCAGGUAAUGAGGCGAAGUUAUAUGUUGGAAUACUUCAUAGAUGCAAGUGAAGGUGGAAAUAGAAAUGCUGAUAGGGCAAUCACUAAAUAGAAGUGCUCACUGAUAUUAUUUAUUUAUUUAUUUAUUUAUUUAUUUAUUUAUUUAUUUAUGAGAGUGUGCUUGA